rnacentral:rRNA from 1 species
GUCGAGCGAACGGACGAGAAGCUUGCUUCUCUGAUGUUAGCGGCGGACGGGCGAGUAACACGUGGAUAACCUACCUAUAAGACUGGGAUAACUUCGGGAAACCGGAGCUAAUACCGGAUAAUAUUUUGAACCGCAUGGUUCAAAAGUGAAAGACGGUCUUGCUGUCACUUAUAGAUGGAUCCGCGCUGCAUUAGCUAGUUGGUAAGGUAACGGCUUACCAAGGCAACGAUGCAUAGCCGACCUGAGAGGGUGAUCGGCCACACUGGAACUGAGACACGGUCCAGACUCCUACGGGAGGCAGCAGUAGGGAAUCUUCCGCAAUGGGCGCAAGCCUGACGGAGCAACGCCGCGUGAGUGAUGAAGGUCUUCGGAUCGUAAAACUCUGUUAUUAGGGAAGAACAUAUGUGUAAGUAACUGUGCACAUCUUGACGGUACCUAAUCAGAAAGCCACGGCUAACUACGUGCCAGCAGCCGCGGUAAUACGUAGGUGGCAAGCGUUAUCCGGAAUUAUUGGGCGUAAAGCGCGCGUAGGCGGUUUUUUAAGUCUGAUGUGAAAGCCCACGGCUCAACCGUGGAGGGUCAUUGGAAACUGGAAAACUUGAGUGCAGAAGAGGAAAGUGGAAUUCCAUGUGUAGCGGUGAAAUGCGCAGAGAUAUGGAGGAACACCAGUGGCGAAGGCGACUUUCUGGUCUGUAACUGACGCUGAUGUGCGAAAGCGUGGGGAUCAAACAGGAUUAGAUACCCUGGUAGUCCACGCCGUAAACGAUGAGUGCUAAGUGUUAGGGGGUUUCCGCCCUCCUUAGUGCUGCAGCUAACGCUAUUAAGCUACUCCGCCUGGGGAGUACGACCGUCAAGUUG